rnacentral:rRNA from 1 species
GACGAACGCUGGCGGCGUGCCUAACACAUGCAAGUCGAGCGGAAGAGUGAGAAGUUUAGCGAUAGACGGAAGACUCUUUAGCGGCGGACGGGUGAGUAACGCGUGGGCAACCUGCCCUUCACAGGGGGAUAACACCGUGAAAAACGGUGCUAAUACCGCAUGACACCAGAGAUGGGCAUCCAGAUCUGGUCAAAGGAGAAAUCCGGUGAAGGAUGGGGCCCGCGUCCGAUUAGAUAGUUGGUGGGGUGACGGCCCACCAAGUCGACGAUCGGUAGCCGGACUGAGAGGUUGGCCGGCCACAUUGGGACUGAGACACGGCCCAGACUCCUACGGGAGGCAGCAGUGGGGAAUAUUGCGCAAUGGGGGGGAACCCUGACGCAGCGACGCCGCGUGAAGGAAGAAGGCCUUCGGGUUGUAAACCUCUUUUGUACGGGAAGAUAAUGACGGUACUGUACGAAUAAGUCCCGGACUAACUACGUG